AUGAUGUUUACAAAUGAUUGGGGUCCCCUUUAUAUAAUAGGGGAAUCCUAAAUACGGUACAUUUCUAUUUACAGUAAGGAAUCUUAUUGGGACAGCUGUAUAACCGUCUAGUAUGGAUUCGUACAAAUCUAUUCCGGAAUUUACGCCAUGAUCUUGGGGACAUGACAGGAAUCUUGUUCUUCUGUAACAAACUCAUAACAGCUCCAUCUCGGUGUCGGUCAUGCUUGGCUCCGAUGUUCCUCGAGCAUUAAGAUCUUCGAGCCUCAUAUUCCGUCAUCGAGAUGGAACUUGAUCCUUAGUGAGCCUACUCUUUGACGCGAGCUUUCUGUUCCUCGAUAUGAACCUCCGAAUCUACGAAAUCAGGGGCAUCCGAUUUCACCGUAUACAAAAAUACUUUGCUACUCCUAUAUAUUAAGCUCCUUCUUGGAUCGACCUUACGAUAAAUAUUUAUGCUUUUCCGACAUAUUAGAAAAUAAGUCACUUAUAUUUUGUAAUAUAUCAAAUUUAUAUUUCGUUCCUGAGUUUAGAAAACGAGCCCAAAAGAGUAGAGCACGUUGAUACAAAGUUAUGUCCAAAUAUGGGAUGUGCAAGAUAUGCCGCCAACAAAUUCUCCUUCGCAAUAAAUACCAUGAUAAUUAAUGAAGACAUCUCCCUAAUCUUGACUUUUAUUCUCCUUUAACCCAUCUUGAAAAAGACUCUCUGCCCCAUUAUUAUAUAUUUUAUAGAACCAAAUGAAAUUUUUACCCACUUUUUUUAACAUCACAUUGAAAUGCACUCACUUAAUAACUGUUUAAAAUGUGAAAUAAUUUUAAGCACGUACACAACAUUAAUUAUAUACAGACAAGACAAAAUCCCUAUAUUAUAUAUGGAUAAGUUCUUCAACUUCAAAUUUAUGAUCUCCCUCAAUCCACCGCAAGUAGUUAUUGCCUUGUUGACAUUUUAGUAUAUAAGUAUAUCACUAGUCCUCAUCUGUAAGUUACACUAAAAAUUAAACACACAUCCAUAGCCACAUAGACAACGAUGCUUGAUCACAACCUAAUAAAUAAGAAAAAAACAAAAAUAACACUUAAAAAUCUAAAAAAACAAAAAAUUAAUGGUGAAAGGUAUCACUUAGAAAUAAGAAUACACAGUUUCGGAUCUUCAGAAGGAAUUUCUCUAAGAGUUUAUGGUCGUUUAAGCUUUUAAAAUUUAAUUGCGAGAUAUGAUUGAGAAAAGAAUGAGGGGGAUUACCUUUAAUCCUUUUAAUUUUGAUAUUUUAACAAUUAGACCUUCAUGUCAAAAGAAAAACAGCAACCAUAUAAAACAAAUCAAAAGAAAAAAAAGAAGAAAUUAAAGAAAAGGACGUACAUUUGUUGAAGGUUACACUGCCCU
rnacentral:lncRNA from 1 species